GCAGGUCAGUGCCCGAACCGGCCGCAAGUGACCGCAGCUUCCCAAGCUGAGAGCGCGAGUUCGAUUCUCGUCACCCGCUCCA
rnacentral:tRNA from 1 species